GAGGAUACGGUUAACGGAGCGAAAGCGACGUUCAACCUCAAAAGAAGCAGAGGGGGCUUAGUGGUGGGGUGACUGCGUACCUUUUGUAUAAUGGGUCAGCGACUUAUAUUCUGUAGCAAGGUUAACCGAAUAGGGGAGCCGGAGGGAAACCGAGUCUUAACCGGGCGUUAAGUUGCAGGGUAUAGACCCGAAACCCGGUGAUCUAGCCAUGGGCAGGUUGAAGGUUGGGUAACACUAACUGGAGGACCGAACCGACUAAUGUUGAAAAAUUAGCGGAUGACCUGUGGCUGGGGGUGAAAGGCCAAUCAAACCGGGAGAUAGCUGGUUCUCCCCGAAAGCUAUUUAGGUAGCGCCUCGUGAACUCAUCUCCGGGGGUAGAGCACUGUUUCGGCUAGGGGGCCAUCCCGGCUUACCAACCCGAUGCAAACUGCGAAUACCGGAGAAUGUUAUCACGGGAGACACACGGCGGGUGCUAACGUCCGUCGUGAAGAGGGAAACAACCCAGACCGCCAGCUAAGGUCCCAAAGUCAUGGUUAAGUGGGAAACGAUGUGGGAAGGCCCAGACAGCCAGGAUGUUGGCUUAGAAGCAGCCAUCAUUUAAAGAAAGCGUAAUAGCUCACUGGUCGAGUCGGCCUGCGCGGAAGAUGUAACGGGGCUAAACCAUGCACCGAAGCUGCGGCAGCGAACGUAUCACCCAAGACAACUUUACGGAGUUGACGAUUGACGGAGCGAAGCGACGUCAAAGCGUUCAUUAAAGUCGAGUUGGCUUAGGGAUACGUUCGUUGGGUAGGGGAGCGUUCUGUAAGCCUGUGAAGGUGGCCUGUGAGGGUUGCUGGAGGUAUCAGAAGUGCGAAUGCUGACAUAAGUAACGAUAAUGCGGGUGAAAAACCCGCACGCCGGAAGACCAAGGGUUCCUGUCCAACGUUAAUCGGGGCAGGGUGAGUCGACCCCUAAGGCGAGGCCGAAAGGCGUAGUCGAUGGGAAACAGGUUAAUAUUCCUGUACUUGGUGUUACUGCGAAGGGGGGACGGAGAAGGCUAUGUUAGCCGGGCGACGGUUGUCCCGGUUUAAGCAUGUAGGCGGAGGUUCCAGGUAAAUCCGGUACCUUAUUAACGCUGAGGUGUGAUGACGAGGCACUACGGUGCUGAAGUAACAAAUGCCCUGCUUCCAGGAAAAGCCUCUAAGCAUCAGGUAACAUCAAAUCGUACCCCAAACCGACACAGGUGGUCAGGUAGAGAAUACCAAGGCGCUUGAGAGAACUCGGGUGAAGGAACUAGGCAAAAUGGUGCCGUAACUUCGGGAGAAGGCACGCUGACA
rnacentral:rRNA from 1 species